GACAUCAUUAGGAGGAGGCAAAGAGCAUCCUUCAUCAGUCAGGGAAAAAGAGAAGACGCAGGGACGGAGACAAAAUACAGGACAACAGAAGAGGGAGAAGAAGACAGAAGGUGUCGUCAGGACGACAGAUACAGGAACAAGAGAAAGAGAGGCAGGGGGACAGAGACAGGCAAGAGGAGGCUUAAAAGCUGCCUGUGUGUGUGUGUGUGUGUGUGUGUGUGUGUGUGUGUGUGUGUGUGUGUGUGUGUGUGUGUGUGUGUGUGUGUGUGUGUGUGUGUGUUCUGCUGACUGGGACACACACAUUGGAGGGUGGAGCCAUGAUGGGAAAGGAUUACAUGCUGGCCAUCAUCAUAGUCAACUAUGACGAUAACAUUUGGACAGACCAGAACCUGCUGCUGGACCCAGACCUUCCUUCUGGAUGGAAGACUAUCAAAGACUCCACAGGAACCUACUACUGGCAUGUACCCACCGGUGCCACGCAGUGGCAACACCCCCGCCCCACUGAGACGUUGCAGCCUCAUGACACACAGCAGGUGGAGGUUGGGCAGCAGAGCUCUAACCCACAGAUGGAUGGACUAGCUAAGGGCAGGUCUUCGUGGCCUGAUGAUUAUCUGACCAAUCACGACCCCGACUCCAAGUGUUUUGCUGUGCGAUCUCUGGGCUGGCUGCAGGUGGAGGAGGAGGACCUGUCUCCUGGUCGCAGCAGUCUUGCUGUCAGUAACGUUAUCCAGCAGCUGUCUCACUGCAGUGCCAGCGAGCAGAGGGAGGGGCUGGGGGCCUCGGGGGAGGGUCAGGAGAUGAUGCUGAUUCUAAAGAAAGACACCCUGACCCUCUUGGACCCUUUAGACCACACCCUCCUUCAUUGUCAGCCAAUCAUCAACAUCCGUGUGUGGGGGGUGGGCUGCAACAAUGGCAGGGACUUUGCCUUUGUGGCAGGAGACAAAGACAGCUGUGUGUUGAAGUGUCACGUUUUUCACUGUGAUGCUCCGGCCAAAGCCAUCGCCACAGCUCUGCAUGAGAUGUGCUCCAAGAUAAUGUCAAAGAAGACACUGGUGAUGCCGUCUCGCUCUUUGACGAUGGAGAGCAUUUCUCCAGAAGACCUGCCCAGACAAGUGGAGUUUUUCGAGGCGAUGCGGCAGCAGAACCAGAAAUUUAAAGUCCAGUAUAUUGGUAAUCUGCCGGUUUCCCGAGCCAUGGGCAUGGAGGUGCUGAACAGAGCAAUAGAAAGCAUCAUGAAUUCCACAGACAAAGACGACUGGGAGCCGACUGUGAUCCAGAUCACAGACAACGUCCUGUCGCUUUGGAAGGGAGAGGAGGGAGACCAGCCUUUCUGGGAGUGUCAAGUUCGUUUUCUCACCUUUCUGGGUGUGGGCCAAGACAGCCACACCUUCGCUGUAAUCGUCGAUGGUGGCACGCAGCGGUUUGAGUGCCACGUGUUCUGGUGUGAGCCUGAUGCAGGAAUAAUUUCUGAAGCCGUUCAGGCUGCCUGCAUGUUCCAGUAUCAGAAGUGUCUGGUAGCCCAGACUCCUCCUCCCAGGUCCAAGUCAUGGCGUGCAACCCCGUCCAAGGUAAAAAGAGCCAACUCCAUGGACGGCGCCGCUUUUCCUCCUCUGACAUCCCCACACCACAGCAGUGGCUCCACGGCGAUGACAAAGAGCAGCAGUGUGAGGAAGGGGAUGAUGGCCUUCUUUGAAACCUUUCGCAACAAGCGGGCUGCCACAUCCUAAUUAUAGAGGCAAGACCAUCAGAGCCAUAUACCUGCAGGUGGUCCCGACCGAGACCAGGAGGACCCAGACUGACGCAUGGCUCUGGUGGUCCCAACAGCCAGUUCUGCUCGCUCCACAUCAUGGUAACAUUGACACCACCUAGGCCUGAAUUCAGUGAAGUGGCUGAUGUUUGUAUCACCUGUAGGUGAUUGAGGUCAACAGCACUGGACGUGCUACCGGUACUGUACCACCACCGAUAUUAGUACAAUCAUUGGAGCUACUGCAUAGAUACUGUUACUGCUACAACCACUGGACCUGUGGGGUUCAGCAGAUAACUGCUUCUCCAAGUUUCUGUGAAGCUCACAACAGUCCUAAAGCCUGAGAAAGGAACCGCAUUUUAACUCCUGUGAGAACCUCUGAAGCACCAACAGAAAUCCCUGUAAGACGGUGUCACUGGAGAUGAAAGGGAUCAAACCAAACAUUGGGACUGGGCCGUGUCCAGAGCAGGGUCUGUUCCCACUUGUUUCCGGGGGUCCCUUCAUCCAUGACUCAAGGUAUUUAUCCAGAUGAUUAAUAUUAUAUUACACAGCUUUAAAACAAUAUAUAUAUAUAUAUAUAUAUAUAUAUAAUCAUGAAGAUGUGAUGAUUUGAUGGAGCAAAUAAUCAUAAAAAUAUAGAUAUUGAAGAAACCUCCCCAAUGUUCAUUGUAAUGUGACGAUCAGAAGGAUUUUCCUUUAACUUUGCUUGGAAAGCAACACAUAGGUGUCAGAUAGAGAAGAAAAGUCUUUUAAUUGUGCUGAUUGGGUCUGUUUGAUUUCUAGACCAAAUUAAAAGCCAGUAAAAUGAGAAAACGACUAUUUCUUGUUUUCUGUCUUACUCUCAAAAUGAACAAAAUGCGAAAACAGUUUAAAAUCCAAUUCUCUAGUUUUGAAAAAAACAAAUUUCAACUGGUUUAUUGGUUUUUAACAUGGUACAUUAAGUAUAUUCCAUUCUUCACUCAUAACAAGAGAAAUGAGAAAACCGUUGUGUUUUGUAUUUUAUCUUGAGGACAAAUUAAACAGAAGACAACUUUAUUGCAGUUGAUGCCUUGACGAAAGGAGAAUAUAAAUCCAUUACUUAAUUUGCAUGUGAACACUGUCUUCCUGCCGCCGUGUGUGUGUGUGUGUGUGUGUGUGUGUGUGUGUGUGUGUGUGUGUGUGUGUGUGUGUGUGUGUGUGUGUGAGAUGUUAAGGUGUGAGAACACUUUGAAACAACAACAACAGGUCAGGGGCCCGUUUCAAGAAGGAGGUUUUGUGGAAACUCUGAGUUUGUUAACCCGAAAUGAGGAAAACUCAGAGUUUUCGGUUUCAGAAAGCGGGGUUACUUAAACCCGUAAAGCGGGGUAAGUUUAAACCCGUUUCAAGAAGCGAGGUAAUCGAAACUCUGAGUCAGUUUCUAUGGAAACUUACUCUGUGAACCAAACCUGGUCGCGAGCAGGUUUUAUUCGGGAAACCCAGAGUUUCCUUCGGUCUCCGCCCCUUUUUAAAGUGAACAGUGUUUAAAUACCUCAUUUAAUCUAUCAGUUCAUUCAUAGAUUUCACCUGUUUCCUUCGCGCAGAGACCAAAAUGUCCGUUUCUAGAGGAUCCUGUAGAUGAGGACGCUGUAUUAAUUCACACGUCAUUGAAUUUACGCCGCGAGAGGAUUUUAACGCCACGAGUUAAUUUUCUGUCAUAACGCCGUGCAUAUUUAUUUGAGCGGUACCGUUUUUCUCGAGACUCCAUACAUAUAUUAAUAAUCUUAUUCACCCAUACGUCAAACACAUCAGCCACCGUGGCCGUGCUUUUACAUCCGAACAGAUUCUUUGUGUUGCGUUACGUUUUUUUGCAAACGGUAGUUUUCUUUAUAACAUUGGAGAUGCUGAGCACAUUAGUGAAGCCACUGUGUGUAGAAAAGUUCGACCUCAAGCGCUUUCCUUGACACAAACUCCUUAAAGCCAUUAAAGAGGAGUUUCACAGGACUGCAGGUAUGUGGUAAGUAAUUUGUUUCAUUGAGGCUAAUCUGAAAAAUGAUGAUCAGUUAAUAAUAUUUUGCUGUGAUCUGAAAUAAACUGAUAAAUGUGCAGGUUCACUGACUACUCUUUCUAAUGGUCACUGUAACUGAUGUAUCAUUGUUUACAUCACCAAGAUCAUGUGUGAUGCUGCACAUAUCAUAAACGUGAACUCAUGAAUAUAUCGUGAUUCAACCCUAAAUAACAGGCUGCACUGUGGUAGUAAGUACAUGUAUGUCCUAUACACUUAUUUCAAUGCAUGCACUCACACUCACAGGAACACUUCUAUGCAGCACGAAAGUAAUGUGAACUUUCUUCUAGGAGAGAUUGACAGCUUUCUGCUGGAGAUAGGGGUCACCCAUGCCAGCCCACACUACUGACCCCUCACCCAGAACCUGAAGCAGGCCCCCAGCAGCGCUUUGUCACUGCAGAACAAGAGCCCUGGUGGAAAUGACCAUAGGCCUGUUGAAAGCACGUCUUCAGUGCCUACGUCAACUCAGGGAAACACCUGAGAGGCCUGUGACAUUAUUGGGACAUGUGUUGUUCUCCACAUUAUUGCAAUUAUUAGAGAGGAGCAACACCCUGCCCUAUAAAUACAAGACCCUGAGGAAGACUCCUUCCAUCAUGAAUUGAACUCUGGCAUUUACUGAACAUCACUGAACUGUGUGCAUCUGUGCAGCAGAAUGUGACGGACCUCCUCCUGCUGUUCUUCCACACUCUGGGGCAGAGGGGAGAUAAUAAAGUCACUAUACUUGGA